rnacentral:rRNA from 1 species
UACGAAGGGUGCAAGCGUUACUCGGAAUUACUGGGCGUAAAGGGUGCGUAGGUGGUUCUUUAAGUCUGCUGUGAAAGCCCCGGGCUCAACCUGGGGAUGGCAGUGGAUACUGGAGAGCUAGAGUGCGGUAGAGGGUAGUGGAAUUCCCGGUGUAGCAGUGAAAUGCGUAGAGAUCGGGAGGAACACCAGUGGCGAAGGCGGCUACCUGGACCAGCACUGACACUGAAGCACGAAAGCGUGGGGAGCAAACAGG